GCCCUGAUCUUUAGGAGCUUGGUGUUAGUAAAACAGUAGUUAUGUAGAAAAAUCAGGGUAAAUUGACCUGGUGCUUUGCUGCCCAGCAAUAAGCAGGAGAGUAACUCAUUUUCUGGAGCUGUAGCUGUGACUGUUGUGCUUGCUCUCCACACCAGAAGUCCCAUGCAAGGAGCCAGCUGCAUUGUGUUAAACUGCUUCCAUCCUCUCAGGUUGGAUCUAUCAAAUCAGCAACAGCUCUGCUCGAAAUUACAGUGGUUAAUUUCUUUGCAAGCAGCUCUCCCAGUGCCCGUUGUGUCAGCAGGAUGGAAAUUGCUGCCAAACCAGCAGCACAGGUUUGCAAAAACAGACCCUACUCAAGUGGUUUUGAGGGUCUCCCCAGGAAUAUCCACAUGCUGCAGGGUCACCUCAAGCUCUCCAGACUAUGAAACAUGCAGUGCUGAAUUAUUCACUCUGGGCCAAGAAGACAAAUAAGACAACAUCUCUUACUACACUGUGAAAUAUUAUUACAGGACAGCCGUGCACAGGAAAAGCUGAAGUGAAAAGACACGCAUUUGUUUAUGGGAACAGCACGAUGUAACAUGAUCGUUGUUAUUUCUGUUGCCUUUGAUCCUCGGCACACAAGACGGUGUGGCUUAAAGGUUGGGCAGGGUCACAGUCUCUCUGGCCCCUGGGCCUUUGCUGUGGAUGCCUGAAGUGAUCUUCAUUUGACACCUUCACAGUAGCCUGAAACACUCAGCAAGUGAUCUGUGUCCAGCUUGUGAAUCUCUUGGCAUAUUUUCAGAGAGAUCAUGCCCUGAGACAACAUUUUUGCGCUUUGACUAGCUGAAAGUAACCCAGACCUAAUGUUAGCAUUGCUUGAAAAGAAGCUAUGGAGGAAACCACUUUUCAGGAAAAAAAAAAAACAACCACAACUAAAUCAGGUAUAAACCCAUUUAGCUUGUACUUAUUCCUACUGGUUCGAUCCAGAAAGCCUCAUUAUUGCCACCCAACUUUUAGGCAAAAUCACUGGGUUUUUUCUUUCCUCCCUGACAUAUUAUAUUAGCAGUCAGAAAGCCUGAGGAAAGAAUCAUGCAAAGUCUAUAUGCUCAGCAAGAAGUUGCUUGGAUGAUUGCAUGAGCAAAAUGUCCAACUACAGCUUCAGGGACAAGCAUUCCUUCAGGAGCCUGGUCCUGGCUCUGUCCUGAGGACACUUCCAUGGUCCAUUUCUUCAGGGAGUGCUCUGCAGCUCGCUGUGUCUCAGAUGUGCACCUUUCCCAUGGCAGGGGGUGGUUACUGCCCCUGCAGAUAAACAGGGGCUUUACAUUUGGUUCUCUUCUCUACUAGAGAGAAUUGAAAUCCACAUGUCCUAUUUCCAAGGCAACCACUUAUCCUGUAAGAACACCUUUCACUCCUUUUGAAUGCGUUCUUCCAAAUCCAAAUUAAUUAAAUUGAGAGGAA